rnacentral:rRNA from 1 species
UACAGAGGUCCCGAGCGUUGUUCGGAUUCACUGGGCGUAAAGGGUGCGUAGGUGGUGAGGUAAGUCGGAUGUGAAAUCUCCGGGCUCAACCCGGAAAUGGCAUUGGAAACUACCUUGCUGGAGGAUUUGAGGGGGGAUUGGAAUACUUGGUGUAGCAGUGAAAUGCGUAGAGAUCAUGAGGAAGACCAGUGGCGAAGGCGGGUCUCUGGACAGUUCCUGACACUGAGGCACGAAGGCCAGGGGAGCAAACGGG